rnacentral:rRNA from 1 species
AGAGUUUGAUCCUGGCUCAGAACGUACGCUGGCGGCACGCCUAACACAUGCAAGUCGAACGAAGUAGCAAUACUUAGUGGCAGACGGGUGAGUAACAUGUAGGUAUCUACCCUUUGGCCUGGAAUAACACGAGGAAACUUGUGCUAAUACCGGAUAAGUCUUUACGGAGAAAGCUUUAUGCACCAUUGGAUGAGCCUGCACUUGAUUAGUUUGUUGGUGGGGUAAUGGCCUACCAAGACUUUGAUCAAUAGCUGAUUUGAGAGGAUGAUCAGCCACAUUGGGACUGAGACACGGCCCAAACUCCUACGGGAGGCAGCAGUGGGGAAUCUUGCACAAUGGAGGAAACUCUGAUGCAGCGAUGCCGCGUGAGUGAAGAAGGCCCUUGGGUUGUAAAGCUCUUUCGUCGGGGAAGAAAAUGACUGUACCCGAAUAAGAAGGUCCGGCUAACUUCGUGCCAGCAGCCGCGGUAAUACGAAGGGACCUAGCGUAGUUCGGAAUUACUGGGCUUAAAGAGUUCGUAGGUGGUUGAAAUAGUUGGUGGUGAAAUCCCAGAGCUUAACUCUGGAACUGCCAUCAAAACUUUUCAGCUAGAGUUUGAUAGAGGAAAGCAGAAUUUCUAGUGUAGAGGUGAAAUUCGUAGAUAUUAGAAAGAAUACCAAUUGCGAAGGCAGCUUUCUGGAUCAUUACUGACACUGAGGAACGAAAGCAUGGGUAGCGAAGAGGAUUAGAUACCCUCGUAGUCCAUGCCGUAAACGAUGUGUGUUAGACGUUGGAAAUUUAUUUUCAGUGUCGCAGCGAAAGCGAUAAACACACCGCCUGGGGAGUACGACCGCAAGGUUAAAACUCAAAUGAAUUGACGGGGACCCGCACAAGUAGUGGAGCAUGUGGUUUAAUUCGAAGAUACGCGCAGAACCUUACCAACACUUGACAUGUUCGUCGCGACUCUAAGAGAUUAGAGUUUUCGGUUCGGCCGGACGAAACACAGGUGCUGCAUGGCUGUCGUCAGCUCGUGUCGUGAGAUGUUGGGUUAAGUCCCGCAACGAGCGCAACCCUCACUUUUAGUUGCCAUCAUUAAGUUGGGCACUCUGAAAGAACUGCCAGUGAUAAGCUGGAGGAAGGUGGGGAUGACGUCAAGUCCUCAUGGCCCUUACGUGUUGGGCUACACACGUGCUACAAUGGUAUCUACAACAGGAAGCAAGACGGCGACGUUAAGCAAAUCCUUAAAAGAUACCUCAGUUCGGAUUGCACUCUGCAACUCGAGUGCAUGAAGCUGGAAUUACUAGUAAUCGUGGAUCAGCGUGCCACGGUGAAUGCGUUCCCGGGUCUUGUACACACCGCCCGUCACACCAUGGGAGUUGGUUCUACCUUAAGGCAAGGUUUCAAACCCUUGACCACGGUAUAGUCAGCGACUGGGGUGAAGUCGUAACAAGGUAACC